GUACUGGAAGGUGCGGCUGGAUCACCUCCUUU
rnacentral:rRNA from 1 species